rnacentral:rRNA from 1 species
GACGAACGCUGGCGGCGUGCCUAAUACAUGCAAGUUGAGCGAUGAAGAUUGGUGCUUGCACCAAUUUGAAGAGCAGCGAACGGGUGAGUAACGCGUGGGGAAUCUGCCUUUGAGCGGGGGACAACAUUUGGAAACGAAUGCUAAUACCGCAUAACAACUUUAAACAUAAGUUUUAAGUUUGAAAGAUGCAAUUGCAUCACUCAAAGAUGAUCCCGCGUUGUAUUAGCUAGUUGGUGAGGUAAAGGCUCACCAAGGCGAUGAUACAUAGCCGACCUGAGAGGGUGAUCGGCCACAUUGGGACUGAGACACGGCCCAAACUCCUACGGGAGGCAGCAGUAGGGAAUCUUCGGCAAUAGACGAAAGUCUGACCGAGCAACGCCGCGUGAGUGAAGAAGGUUGUCGGAUCGUAAAACUCUGUUGGUAGAGAAGAACGUUGGUGAGAGUGGAAAGCUCAUCAAGUGACGGUAACUACACAGAAAGGGACGGCUAACUACGUG